rnacentral:rRNA from 1 species
UACGUAGGGUGCAAGCGUUAAUCGGAAUUACUGGGCGUAAAGCGUGCGCAGGCGGUUGUGCAAGACCGAUGUGAAAUCCCCGGGCUCAACCCGGAAAUGGCAUUGGAAACUACCUUGCUUGAGGAUUUGAGGGGGGAUUGGAAUACUUGGUGUAGCAGUGAAAUGCGUAGAUAUCAAGUGGAACACCAGUGGCGAAGGCGAAUCCCUGGAAAAUACCUGACACUGAGGCACGAAAGCUAGGGGAGCAAAAGGG